rfam:Clostridium sp. CAG:433 genomic scaffold, scf72
UCAAAAAGUUUUUCUGUACCUAAGACAGUAAGAGCGAAAGCUUAAUAUUUCUUACCGAGGACAAUUACUUAAUACUUAUUUUAAGUCUUUGUCUUUAGUACAAAGACUUUUUUGAUAUAAAU